GCUAACCGGAACCUGACGCUCAGCAGAGCUCUCGCCGGCUCCCCGGCCGCGGGGGCCGCCCCACCUCGCCCCGCCCGGCGCUCUCGGUUCCGGGGUGCAGAUCUCUCCACUCUUUCCUUCGGUCUCAGGCUGGCUAACUUUGCAUAAACAAAGCAACAACAGCAGCCCUUGGGUGGGUGAAGGAAAUCUCAACUCCCUCCCCCUUCCUCUUUCUCCCUCCUCCUCUCUCCCCUUUCCAGCACCUCUUUUUUCUUCUUCCUCCUUUUACUUCCUCCUCCUCCACUUUGCCCCACAACACUGGGCUGUCCUAAGAGGUUUAUCAGGUACCACUUGGCCCCUAUUUAAGUUCCUCAACUUUCCCGGAUCUGAGGAAAUUAUCGGUCAAAUUAUUAUGAUGGGGCCAAUUUGAAAGCUAACUUGGGGCUAAGUUCACGAGUCUUUAUCUUCCUAGGGUCUAAAUACAAGCCUCCAACUCCUUCCAAAGGCUCCUAAAGUAAAAGUUGGCUUUUCUAGAUACAAGGUCUGUGCGAAGAGGGAUCUCUGACGCUGGGUCACUACUGGGUAAGUGAAAUUCUUUCCUCUUUUUCCACCCUAGCCCCUAGCCCCCCACUGCCAAGACGUGAGCUGCUGGCUAUUAUCAAACAAUUUUAAAAGCCCUGCUUAGCUAGGAUUUAGUGUCAGUAAAGUCACUUUUCUUGGAAAAAGCUGUCCUGUGUGCAAGUUUUUUGUUGUUGUUGUUGUCUGAGAUUUCUUUGAGGACUCAAUCUCUCCGAACUGUACUGAGCAGCUAGUUACAGCUGAGCCCCAAACUGAACUUUCUCUCCUGAGGCUGUUCUCAUGGGCCUGCCUUGCCUAUGGUGAUAAUCCUUGGAAAGGUAACUUAAAUCACAGUGCCUCAUUACUUGUGGGCAGAUAGUCUACUAACAUUUCAAAGUUUUUUCAAACAAUCAAAUGGAGAUGUGACUCUUACAUCUUUUAUCCCCUCAUCUGGUGUAAAAAAUAAACAGAAAAUGUGUAUGAGUUCAAGGUGAGUCACUGUUCAUCCUCAAAGGUCUCUUAAAUCCCGAGGAAGCCAUCACUCCCAAGCCUGAAACAGGUAGGUUCCCUUUUGCCUUGGACCUGAAGAUGCCAGACACGUAGC
rnacentral:lncRNA from 1 species